rnacentral:rRNA from 1 species
UACGUAGGGGGCAAGCGUUGUCCGGAUUUAUUGGGCGUAAAGAGCGUGUAGGCGGCCAGAUAGGUCUGUUGUGAAAACUCGAGGCUCAACCUCGAGACGCCGAUGGAAACCAUUUGGCUAGAGUCCGGAAGAGGAGAGUGGAAUUCCCGGUGUAGCGGUGAAAUGCGUAGAUAUCGGGAGGAACAUCAGUUGCGAAGGCGGCUAUCUGGACAUAGACUGACACUGAGGCACGAAAGCGUGGGUAGCAAACAGG